rnacentral:ncRNA from 1 species
GCUACUGGCUGGGGGAGCCUUGUUAUGGAAGGCUGAGAAAGGGUUCGACCCUGACCCCGAGGGCUUUUUUGCCCCAUCACCUGAUGCAGAUAGUACUGCCGGAGGGAAAGCUGGUUUGCCAGGGG